rnacentral:rRNA from 1 species
UACAGAGGUCCCAAGCGUUGUUCGGAUUCACUGGGCGUAAAGGGUGCGUAGGCGGUCGGGUAAGUCUGAUGUGAAAACUCGAGGCUCAACCUCGAGACGUCGGCGGAAACCAUCUGGCUAGAGUCCGGAAGAGGAGAGUGGAAUUCCUGGUGUAGCGGUGAAAUGCGCAGAUAUCAGGAAGAACACCCGUGGCGAAGGCGGCUCUCUGGGACGGUACUGACGCUGAGACGCGAAAGCGUGGGGAGCGAACAGG